AAGAAGUGCAUCGGAAACUGUCAGACUUGAGUGCAGAAGAGGACAGUGGAACUCCAUGUGUAGCGGUGGAAUGCGUAGAUAUAUGGAAGAACACCAGUGGCGAAGGCGGCUGUCUGGUCUGCAACUGACGCUGAGGCUCGAAAGCAUGGGUAGCGAACAGGAUUAGAUACCCUGGUAGUCCAUGCCGUAAACGAUGAGUGCUAGGUGUUGGAGGGUUUCCGCCCUUCAGUGCCGCAGCUAACGCAUUAAGCACUCCGCCUGGGGAGUACGACCGCAAGGUUGAAACUCAAAGGAAUUGACGGGGGCCCGCACAAGCGGUGGAGCAUGUGGUUUAAUUCGAAGCUACGCGAAGAACCUUACCAGGUCUUGACAUCUUGCGCCAACCCUAGAGAUAGGGCGUUUCCUUCGGGAACGCAAUGACAGGUGGUGCAUGGUCGUCGUCAGCUCGUGUCGUGAGAUGUUGGGUUAAGUCCCGCAACGAGCGCAACCCUUGUUACUAGUUGCCAGCAUUCAGUUGGGCACUCUAGUGAGACUGCCGGUGACAAACCGGAGGAAGGUGGGGAGGACGUCAGAUCAUCAUGCCCCUUAUGACCUGGGGUACACACGUGCUACAAUGGACGGUACAACGAGUCGCGAACUCGCGAGGGCAAGAUAAUCUCUUAAAACCGUUCUCAGUUCGGACUGCAGGCUGCAACUCGCCUGCACGAAGUCGGAAUCGCUAGUAAUCGCGGAUCAGCAUGCCGCGGUGAAUACGUUCCCGGGCCUUGUACACACCGCCCGUCACACCAUGAGAGUUUGCAACACCCAAAGUCGGUGGG
rnacentral:rRNA from 2 species